UUGAUCCUGGCUCAGAUUGAACGCUGGCGGCAGGCCUAACACAUGCAAGUCGAGCGGCAGCACAGAGGAACUUGUUCCUUGGGUGGCGAGCGGCGGACGGGUGAGUAAUGCCUGGGAAAUUGCCCUGAUGUGGGGGAUAACCAUUGGAAACGAUGGCUAAUACCGCAUGAUGCCUACGGGCCAAAGAGGGGGACCUUCGGGCCUCUCGCGUCAGGAUAUGCCCAGGUGGGAUUAGCUAGUUGGUGAGGUAAUGGCUCACCAAGGCGACGAUCCCUAGCUGGUCUGAGAGGAUGAUCAGCCACACUGGAACUGAGACACGGUCCAGACUCCUACGGGAGGCAGCAGUGGGGAAUAUUGCACAAUGGGCGCAAGCCUGAUGCAGCCAUGCCGCGUGUAUGAAGAAGGCCUUCGGGUUGUAAAGUACUUUCAGUCGUGAGGAAGGUUGUAGUGUGAAUAGCACUAUGAUUUGACGUUAGCGACAGAAGAAGACACCGGCUAACUCCUG
rnacentral:rRNA from 1 species